GCACCACAAGAACGCGUGGAGCAUGUGGCUUAAUUUGACUCAACGCGGGAAAUCUUACCGGGUCCGGACACACUGAGGAUUGACAGGCAAUAUAUGUGACUCUUCGGAGUUUGCAUUGUUAAAUAUGCUAGUCCUUUCAUGAUUAUGUGAUAGGUGGUGCAUGGCCGUUCUUAGUUCGUGGAGUGAUCUGUCUGCUUAAUUGCGUUUCAAAUUACUUAUAAGGUAGCAAUACGCGAUGAAACUUUCAAUAGUCC
rnacentral:rRNA from 1 species